AACUUCCCCCAUCCACGUCACACACGACGUCCUUGUGCUGUACUCAAACACGCAGAUACUUCACCAGGUCUGUCCCCUCGAGCAACCUUCCCCGCAGCUUCUCAGCCUUCUCUAGUCUACACUGGCUGCCCUCAGGCCGGCCCCACAGCUGUCACCGGGGUCCGGUCAUUGUCGUCAUCAUUCUAGAAUUUUACUCUGCCCUUCUUUUCUUGGACCAACUGCUGUUGGAUCUUAGAACGUCCUCCUCCUUGAUUUGCCCCCUCGUUGGGUAGAACUCAAACGGUAUAUGGGAGGUUAAUUUUUUGAGAUCUUCAAUGUAUGAGGAAAGUCUUUAGGAUAACUUGGCUGAAUACAAAAUUCUAGGUUGGAAACCUCUCCCCAGAAUUCUGAAGCCUUCCCGCCGUAGUCCUCCAGGGUCUGUCAAUCUCUGCUUGUAUAAUCUGCUCCUUUUUCCAGUUUUUUGAAGGUUCAUAAUGUUGUUCAGGGUGUCAUGCCUUUUUAUUCAUGGUGGGAAUUCUGUCUCUAGAUUUUAGGAAUUUGUCUUAAAUUAUUUAUUGGAAUCCCUUCUGUCCCUGUUUUUAUCCUUAUCUUUAGUAUUUGGAUCUCCUAUCCUCCUUUUUUUAAAAACAUUUAAAUCUUUUGACUUUUAUCCUACUUUCUGAGAAACUUCCUCACAUUUAUGGUCCAGCCUUUUUUUAAAAAAUUAUUUUUUAAAUUCCACUGUAGCUAACAUACAGUGUUUGUUAGUUUCAGGUUGUCAAAACUUUUUAUUGGUUUUCAUUUCUGCUGUUUUUCAUUUAUGAGAAUUUUUUUUCUCUGAAUAUUAUUUUUUAUAGCUCUGUUGAUUUCCUUUCUCUGGAGAUAAUUAUACUAUUUUAGAAGGUUUGCUUUUCUUUUCUUUUUGCAUAGCCUCCAAAUUUCUUUAUUCUUAUCAUACAUUAGGCCAAAUGUCCUAAAGCUUUUUCUCAAAUUUCUAGCAAGCUUUAGAUAUUUAUUCAUAUUAGCAGUAGAGCACUAAAAAGCUGAAUUGGACUGUAAGAUCCAUGGAAUGGAUGAGGCUCAUCAGCUUCACUUAGGGUCGUAUGCAUGGGUGGGCCUCUCCACUGGGGAAUCCCUAAUACUAUAGUUGGGUCGUUUUUCUGGGACUGGUCAGAUUUCCGCGAGAGAGUCCUCCCCGUCUCCUGCCAGUAGCAUAUAAACUGCUCCCAGUAGUCAAGAGAGAGAGGGCGUGGAGGCCGGGACAGGAGCGUGCCCUCGGCCAGAUGGGGUGCGCCUUCUGCUUGCCCUCCAGAGAACGAAGCUCUAGUCUGCUGCCAUGUGGGAAGGAAGAGAAGACCUAACAUCCAGCUGUUUCAUCAACGCCUUUAAACCGAUCAUUUGGUUUUAACUGCAACUUAAGCUCCACUUCCAGAAGUUCCCACACCACAGAUUCUUAGAGCAUUUUGCAGUGUAAACGAGGUUGCAUCUUUUUGUCUUUCACACUGCCCAUUUAGGAUCUGACUGGUUUAGAUCUAAGUCAGAUUCCGCUUACCCAUAUACGUGGCCGCUUUCAAACUCUUCUAGCUAUUAUUUCCUCUCCUUUUAUCUUUUACUUUGUGGAUUUAUGCCUUGUGUGUAUAUUUAACUAAGUAUCAACUAUCUACGGUAGCAUAUGUGGUUAUGUGCAGUUACACAUGGUGUGUGCGUACCUAUAUGCGGCACAUACACUAGAUGCACACACACAUGCACAUAACAUGACGAUAACAUUCUGCAUACGUAAAGAGACAGUUUGGGGUAGAGCUAAAGUUAAUAUGUUGUUUCAAUGUUCCAUCUAUAACUGAAACUUCAGAUUAAUUUUUUGUUCAUUUAUUUGACCCUUAACUGUUCACAUCCGCGUGGGCUUCAGAUUUGUUGCUAAUAAGAUAUUAUUUACUACAACUUCUAAACAUUGAAAGGCGCUUUCUAUUCUGAUGACCCCAUUGCCCAUCCCUGGGUGCGGAAGGUACCAGGUCAAGCUUAGCAUGCAGAAACUCUCUUUUAUUCCAUACUUAGAAGUCUUACAGUGCACCAAUGAUGUAUUCUGGCCAAAAAGUCAAACGUGAAUAUCUAGACCUACUUAACAAUUUGUAGGAAAUAAAGGGGAUAUCAGUGGAUAACCAGCAAAAUCAAUAUUGCUGGGAAUAACCCCAUUUCUUCAAUAACAAAUUUUCAGAGAAAAUUAAAGAGAGGGAGGGUCCAGAGGGCAUCCUAUAUGAUACAAUACAUUUCAGAAAUGUGUCUAAUUGCAUUGUAUGGCUGUUAUUUGGAUCCUGAGUUGAGCCAACAUAUUGUUUUAAGAAAAUUAGACAUUUGGAAAAAGUUUAAACAAUAUUAUUCUAACAAUAUUUAAACAAUAUUGAUUAUAUUAAGGAAUUAUUGUUGCUAUCUUAUGUGUUGUAAUGAUAUGUGGUUAUAAUUUUCAAAAAUCUAUCUUUUAACUCUAAAUGACAUGAUAACAUGUCAUAUGAGAUAUUGCUGUAAGGCUACAGUAACCCAAACUUGUAUUGCCAAAAGAAUACACAAAAUAGAUCAGUGGAACAGAAUGCAUAGCCCAGAACUAGACCCAGGCAAAUAUAGUCAACUGACCUCUGACAGAGGAGCAGAGGUAAUACAAUGGAGAGACCAGCUUUUCAACAAAUAGUUCUGGAAUAACUGGACAGCACAUGGAAAGUAAUGAAUCUACACACAAACCUUGCACAUUUUACAAAAAUUAAGUCAAAAUGGAUCACGGACCUAAAUAUAAAAUCCAAAACUAUAAAACUCCUAGUAACAUAAGAGCAAAUCUAGAUGCCCUUGGGUUUGGCAGUGACUUUUCAGAUACAACAACUAUUUCUAAUUGCCAAUACUUGGAAGCAACCAAGAUGCCUUUCAGCAGGUAAAUGGAUAAAUAAACUAUGGUAUCUUCAUUCAGGAAAACAUUAAUCGGUGCUUAAAAAGUACAUAUCAAGCUAUGAAAAGACAUGGAAAUGAAGGAAGCUUAGCUGCACAUUAUAAUGAGAGAAGUCAAUGUGAAAAUGCUACAGGCAGUACAUUUUCAACUAUGUGACAUUGUGGAAACGGGAAAACUACAGAAACUAAAAGUAUCAGGGGCUGGAGGGAGGGGCGAGGGGAUGAACAGCAGAGCACAGAGGGUUGCGAGGCGGUGCAGCUGUUCUACGGGAUACUGUACUGAGGGUUGCAUACACUCAUAUGUUUGUUCAAACCCCUACGACACCAAGAGUGAAGCCUACUAUAGACUCUGAGCCUUGAGUACUAGUGAUGUGGCAAUGCAGCUUCAUGGGUUGUAGCAGGUGCACCACAUGGUGAGGAUGUUGACUCUGCAGGGGGCUGUGUGUGGGUGGGGGGAGCAGCGAAUAAUACAUGGGAAAUCUGUACUUUCUGCUUGGUUUUGCUAUGAACCAAAGCGCUACAAUACAGCCUAUUGAACAUGUGUGAUUAUCCCUUAACUGUUUACAAAUAAUAUAAUUAAAUGUCUGGAAUUUUCCACAGAAAGAUCCAGGGUGAGGCGUCAAUGGAGAACAGAGGUAGCGAGUAGGCUGCAGAUUAAGUAAGAGUGGCCAUGAGUUGAUGAUUGUUGAUUCUAGAUUACAGGUAAAUGAUGCUUUAUUAUACCGUUCUCUCCACUUUUGAUAUGUCUGAAAUUUUCCAUAGUAAAGGCUUUGAAUACUGAAUAGCUCAGCUGGGUUACAUGAGGGUUCUAUAACCAGUAGAACAAGUGCAGGCAACUAGUAGCGAACCCCUUCAUAACUGGAAAGAGGUGACUGAGAGUGAAUAAGCGUUAGACGCCCGCUGGAGGCCGAGGGGCACAGAAUCAUCCAUCUUCACAUCCCGCUGGAGCAAGAAAGGUGUGGGCUGGGACAUCUCGGUGAAGGACGAGUGCUCACAAAUCCUUCAUGAGAAAUCCUAGCUGCAUUACUGUCCUGACAGAAAUAAUGAAACCAGAAGAUUGUAUUCAGAAAACUGCACUUACUGGAGAGAGAAGAAGAGUUUUAGAAAAGAACCAGAGGCCCCCAAGUUCCGUGAGUCUAAAUCUCUGGCUGACACCCCUAAGCAACACCUGAAUGAAGCAGACUCAGCUCGUCCUAAAGACAAAGAUUGGAACUAAAUGAAAGCUUCCACUCAAGGAACACUUAAGAACCUGAGUUUGCUGUUCAACUGCAAUUGACUGCUAAACCAAAAGAAAAAGGGUCCAGAUUAUUCACAAUUUAUUAUUCCGGAUGUCUAGAAUAAAAUGUAAAAUUAUCCAACAUAUAAAAAACAAGGAAAAUGGAACAGUUUCAAGAGAAUAGAAAAUCAACUGAGACCAACCUCAAUAGAUCAAUGGAUAUUAUCCAAUGUGAAGAAUAGAAAAAUAUUUAGGAUAAAGUGAACAUAUGACUUCAAAGGUACCUGUUAAAUAUAAUCAGAUAAUCUAACGUAUGUGUAAUUGGAGUACUAGAAGAAAAACAAAUGGAGAAUCAGGAAAAAAAAAACACCUUAAGUAAUGGUCGACACUUUCUCAAAUUUAAUGAAAAGCACAAAAUUACAGAUUCAA